rnacentral:misc_RNA from 1 species
AUGGUGGUAGGAGCAUUUGGGAGAAUACCUGGCGCUUGUGUAUAGAAAGGCUUCACGGUCAAAAGUCGCCUCUCAUUACCCCUGAGACACCUUUGCAAUCCCGUUCAGGUGCUAGUGCUCCCGAGCAAUCAAUUAAACAAAAUGCACUUCAAAGUAAAGCAGUCUCUCCACCUGUUGUUCGUGGCAGCAGCAAGGGUACUCCUACA